GGGCCGCUAGCUCAAUUGGCAGAGCAAUUGACUCUUAAUCAAUAGGCAACGAAAUCAGAGUUUCACAACUUG
rnacentral:tRNA from 1 species